rnacentral:rRNA from 1 species
UACGUAGGGUGCGAGCGUUAAUCGGAUUUACUGGGCGUAAAGCGUGCGCAGGCGGCCCGUUAAGACAGGUGUGAAAUCCCUGGGCUCAACCUAGGAAUUGCGCUUGUGACUGGCGGGCUCGAGUACGGUAGAGGGGGGUGGAGUUCCUGGUGUAGCAGUGAAAUGCGUAGAGAUCAGGAGGAACACCGAUGGCGAAGGCAGCCCCCUGGGCCUGUACUGACGCUCAUGCACGAAAGCGUGGGGAGCAAACAGG